AGUGAACGCUGGCGGCAGGCCUAACACAUGCAAGUCGAGCGGCAGCGCGGGGGCAACCCUGGCGGCGAGCGGCGGACGGGUGAGGAAUUCGUCGGAAUCUGCCUUUUUGUGGGGGAUAACGUAGGGAAACUUACGCUAAUACCGCAUACGUCCUACGGGAGAAAGUGGGGGACCGCAAGGCCUCACGCAGAAAGAUGAGCCGACGACCGAUUAGCUAGUUGGUGGGGUAAAGGCCCACCAAGGCGACGAUCGGUAGCUGGUCUGAGAGGAUGAUCAGCCACACUGGGACUGAGACACGGCCCAGACUCCUACGGGAGGCAGCAGUGGGGAAUAUUGGACAAUGGGCGCAAGCCUGAUCCAGCCAUGCCGCGUGUGUGAAGAAGGCCUUCGGGUUGUAAAGCACUUUUGUCCGGAAAGAAAUCCCUGGAGCUAAUACCUUCGGGGGUUGACGGUACCGGAAGAAUAAGCACCGGCUAACUUCGUG
rnacentral:rRNA from 1 species